UUUAUAAAGAGUUUGAUCCUGGCUCAGGACGAACGCUGGCGGCGCGCCUAACACAUGCAAGUCGAACGAGCGAGAGAGAGUUUACUUUUUCGAGCGAGUGGCGAACGGGUGAGUAACGCGUGAGGAACCUGCCUCAAAGAGGGGGACAACAGUUGGAAACGACUGCUAAUACCGCAUAAGCCCACGG
rnacentral:rRNA from 1 species